GUGUCCAAUAGAUGACAUAGGCGUCGUCGUUUUCAUGCGAUGGCGGAUUGUUGUGUCAGUGGUUGUCAAAAGUUUUCCUAUUUUUCCAUGAAAAUUACCGAUGAAUUCAUCAGAAGGAACGGGAAAGGAAAAAUUAGCAUACAAGUAGCCUACCAUCACUACCACCAACUCUUUUAUUAAAAAUCUUCGUUCUGCUGAAUGCAUCAUGCAGUUAAUACAGGGAAAGCUAUGAAAAAUAUCAUAUAAUCAAGGCCAUGGGUAAUCUUCACGUUUAUUGCAGCAGCUUAAGAGAAGAAUGUGAACAAAUGCAGGGCACUGGUCACAUACCAACAUGUGUUGUAUUUUUCUGAAUGUUAACACGAGCAGCAGAUUCAACAUGACUAACUGUUUGAUGCCAAAGUUAGUUGGAACUCAACUCACUGUGCGUACUCUAAAAACACAGAUAACUGGUGCUGUUGCCUUUCAGCCACAGGCAGGAAAAUGAUUCUUUUCUUCAGAAAAUUGAAAGCUGCUGGAGUAAUCUGGUGGUCAUGCUCAUUUGAUUCAUUUCGUGCCAGCUAGUAAAAGCCGAAAGGCAUGUCGAAUUCAAUUGAGCUGCUGCAUGCUGUCUCGAAGGAAGCAAUCCAACCGUUGCGUUCAGUCAUUUGGAACAGGAAUCUAAUGGCUGUCAAUAGGUGGCUGUGAAUAAGUGGCUCAAAUGAUGUCCACCAGG